UUCUAUGGCCAUGCUACCCUGAACAAACUCGAUCCCAUCUGAUCUUGGAAGCUAAGCAGGGUCGGGCCUGGUUAGUACUUGGAUUGGAGACCACCUAGGAAGACCAGGUGCUGUAGGCA
rnacentral:rRNA from 1 species